rnacentral:rRNA from 1 species
UACGAAGGGUGCAAGCGUUAAUCGGAAUUACUGGGCGUAAAGCGCGCGUAGGUGGUUCAGUAAGUUGGAAGUGAAAUCCCCGGGCUCAACCUGGGAACUGCUUUCAAAACUGCUGAGCUAGAGUACGGUAGAGGGGGGUGGAAUUUCCUGUGUAGCGGUGAAAUGCGUAGAUAUAGGAAGGAACACCAGUGGCGAAGGCGACCACCUGGACUGAUACUGACACUGAGGUGCGAAAGCGUGGGGAGCAAACAGG